CCAUUAAGUGAUGGCGUGACAGACGGAGUGCCAUGCCAUCACACCUUAUCAUGGACACCUUGUUGUCAUGUCAUCACUUUCAAUGACGUGACAAUGAUGUGUUAGUGAUUGGGCAUGAUGACGUGACACUCCGUCUAUCACGUUUAUCACUUAAUGGAA
rfam:Glycine soja cultivar W05 scaffold976_1, whole genome shotgun sequence.